rnacentral:rRNA from 1 species
CCUACGGGAGACAGCAGUCGAGAAUCAUUCACAAUGGGGGAAACCCUGAUGGUGCGACGCCGCGUGGGGGAAUGAAGGUCUUCGGAUGGUAAACCCCUGUCAUGUGGGAGCAAAUUAAAAAGAUAGUACCACAAGAGGAAGAGACGGCUAACUCCGUGCCAGCAGCCGCGGUAAUACAGAGGUCUCAAGCGUUGUUCGGAAUCACUGGGCGUAAAGGGUGCGUAGGCUGUUUCGUAAGUCGGGGGUGAAAGGCGCGGGCUCAACCCGGGGACGGCAGAUGGAACUGCGAGACUAGAGUGAUGGAGGGGGAGGCGGAAUUCGCGGUGUAGCAGUGAAAUGCGUAGAUAUCGAGAGGAACACUCGUGGCGAAGGCGGGUUCCUGGACAGUAACUGACGCUGAGGCACGAAGGCGAUGGGAGCGAAAGGGAUUAGAUACCCCUGUAGUC